CACGUAGGCGGAUUGCUAAGUCGGGGGUGAAAUCCUGGAGCUUAACUCCAGAACUGCCCUCGAUACUGGCGACCUUGAGUCCGGGAGAGGUGAGUGGAACUGCGAGUGUAGAGGUGAAAUUCGUAGAUAUUCGCAAGAACACCAGUGGCGAAGGCGGCUCACUGGCCCGGUACUGACGCUGAUGUGCGAAAGCGUGGGGAGCAAACAGGAUUAGAUACCCUGGUAGUCCACGCUGUAAACGAUGGAUGCUAGCCGUUGGCGAGCUUGCUCGUCAGUGGCGCAGCUAACGCUUUAAGCAUCCCGCCUGGGGAGUACGGUCGCAAGAUUAAA
rnacentral:rRNA from 1 species